rnacentral:rRNA from 1 species
UACAGAGGGUGCAAGCGUUGUUCGGAAUUAUUGGGCGUAAAGCGCGUGUAGGCGGCUUUGCAAGUCGGGUGUGAAAGCCCUCAGCUCAACUGAGGAAGUGCGCCCGAAACUGCAGAGCUUGAGUACCGGAGAGGAUGGUGGAAUUCCCCAAGUAGAGGUGAAAUUCGUAGAUAUCAGGAGGAACACCGGUGGCGAAGGCGGCAUCCUGGACCGGCAUUGACGCUGAGGAGCGAAAGCCAGGGGAGCAAACGGG